CGAGGGCUCUCAGACCCGAAUUAAUUAGUCCAGCACUCGAUUUUGGUGCUGAACGCGUAGGUGUCGCAGCACCCGAAGAUGGUUUGGAAGAUUCUGCUAAUUCGUCAUUAACAACUCCUAACUUCUCUUUCUCUGCUUUUUCUCUGCGCUUCAUGGCUCUUGGGCCCAUUCCGUAAGGAGCCCGAGGUUUUUUCAUCUGGAAUGGCCGCUCUUGUGGUUUUGGUUGAGAAGAUGGUGAUGCAGUAAAGUUUUGCUUCUCUUUCAAGGAACUUAAAACUUCUCGAAACCUUUCAGUUGGCACUUUUAAAUGUAAUACUAAAGUUUCGCUCAUUAUAUGUUUAUAAUUACCCAAAUAUGUAAUUUGUAAGAGCACCAAGCAAAUAACUUUCGAACUCUUUUAACUAAAUCGAAAACACUGAUUAAAGGAUAAAAAACUUCUUAAACUUCCUUUUCUUUAAAUUUAUCUCUCUUCAAAUUAUUUAGCAAUAAGAUGGAAACCUUUCUUAAAGACCAAAAUUGAAAGGUAACUUGGAAUAAGAGAAGACAGGAAAAAAAUUUGAAUGCGAGGUGGAAAGUAUCAACUAAACGUGUUCCACCGUUGGGAUCUGCCGUCCCAUAGUUCGCCAGCUUGGACUUGGUGCACCGUCAUGUCUCCAGUGUAUAUACAUAAAAUUUCUUUAACGAACAACAUGCUUUGCAGUGAAGAUAAUUUUUCUACGAAUAAGCGCGCUUAAAUAUUUU